UCCAGACUCCUACGGGAGGCAGCAGUGGGGAAUAUUGCACAAUGGGGGGAACCCUGAUGCAGCGACGCCGCGUGGGUGAAGGAGCACCUCGGUGCGUAAAGCCCUAUCGGCAGGGAAGAAAAGCGAACAGGUUCGCCUGGACGGUACCUGGCUAAGAAGCCCCGGCUAACUACGUGCCAGCAGCCGCGGGAAUACGGAGGGGGCGAGCGUUAUCCGGAUUCAUUGGGCGUAAAGCGCGCGUAGGCGGCGCGUCAAGCGGGACCUCUAACCCCGGGGCUCAACCCCGGGCCGGGUCCCGGACUGGCGCGCUCGAGUGCGGUAGAGGCGAGUGGAAUUCCCGGUGUAGCGGUGGAAUGCGCAGAUAUCGGGAAGAACACCGAUGGCGAAGGCAGCUCGCUGGGCCGACACUGACGCUGAGGCGCGAAAGCUGGGGGAGCGAACAGGAUUAGAUACCCGUGUAAAA
rnacentral:rRNA from 1 species